rnacentral:rRNA from 1 species
UACGGAGGAUCCGAGCGUUAUCCGGAUUUAUUGGGUUUAAAGGGUGCGUAGGCGGUCUAUUAAGUCAGGGGUGAAAUACGGUGGCUCAACCAUCGCAGUGCCUUUGAUACUGAUGGGCUUGAAUCCAUUUGAAGUGGGCGGAAUAAGACAAGUAGCGGUGAAAUGCAUAGAUAUGUCUUAGAACUCCGAUUGCGAAGGCAGCUCACUAAGCUGGUAUUGACGCUGAUGCACGAAAGCGUGGGGAGCGAACAGG